rnacentral:rRNA from 1 species
UACGUAGGGUGCGAGCGUUGUCCGGAAUUAUUGGGGCGUAAGGGGCUCGUAGGCGGUUUGUCGCGUCGGGAGUGAAAACACCGGGCUUAACUCGGUGCUUGCUUUCGAUACGGGCAGACUAGAGGCAUGCAGGGGAGAACGGAAUUCCUGGUGUAGCGGUGAAAUGCGCAGAUAUCAGGAGGAACACCGGUGGCGAAGGCGGUUCUCUGGGCAUGUCCUGACGCUGAGGAGCGAAAGUGUGGGGAGCGAACAGG